CAAUCAAUUUUUAAUUUUUCCCCUCUCUUUUUGCAGCUGUCUGAAAGCUACAGGAAUGCCUGAAGUCAGAGGAGCUGCUGCCUACAAGAACAGGUUCUGCUCCCUGAGUAUCUGGUCUAUCCUUUGGUGCACUCCUUGGGCAGUACUAUUUGCUCCUUGUAGUAAAUCUACACCCAACAGGGAUGAAGGAAAGAAAAUCAACCACAACAGACAAACAACAGCACAGAGGUGACUGAGGCCAGUUCUAGGGAGAAGUAAGUUCUGGGAAGUCUAAUGCUCCUGGGCAGGCUGUGGGGAUCUUAUGGACCCUGCUGACCCUGUAGCAGAUCCCUGGGGGCAGUGCUGGCAUUGUUUUUGCUUCCUCCCCUUGAAGGAGUUUGCAAGCAAAGGCCUUGUGAGGAAGGCAAUAUCUUUUUUUAGUGCAGUCUCCCUGAAAGCAGA
rnacentral:lncRNA from 12 species